rnacentral:tRNA from 1 species
ACCUUGGUAGUAUAAUGGUUAUUACAACUGUUGUAAUCAACAGGAAAUCAGGGUUCGAAUCCCUGCUAAGGUU